UACAGAGGGGGGCAAGCGUUAUUCGGAAUUAUUGAGCGUAAAGGGCGCGUAGGCGGCUUGGCAAGUGGAAGGUGAAAUCCCUCGGCUUAACCGAGGAACUGCCCCUCCAAACUGCUUGGCUUGAGACCGGGAGAGGUGAGUGGAAUUCCCAGUGUAGCGGUGAAAUGCGUAGAUAUUGGGAGGAACACCAGUGGCGAAGGCGGCUCACUGGACCGGUACUGACGCUGAGUGCGCGAAAGCGUGGGGAGCAAACGGG
rnacentral:rRNA from 1 species